GUCAGCCCAUUUGAGAAAUCUGUACACCCACGGAACUGGUGAGGUUGUUCUCGACUGUCUGUGCUCUUUAGUGUGAGGUGUUGCUUUAGUUUAACUUUUUGUUUUCCAUGCUUGGUAUAUUGUGAAAGCUUCAACCUGUUAUUUGACUGCGCUAACUUGACUUCGGUUUUAUUGUUAUUUUGAGGGUAUACACACCAGAUAGAAGGUCCUGGUUUAAAAACAGUUCUUUCGUACAUGUGUGGGUUUCCUCCAGGCACUCUGGUUUCCUCCCACAGUCCAAAAACAUUCUUGGCAUAAAUGUUGUAUACUUGUAUAGUAUUUUACUACCUUCUUAGAAGACCCAAAGCCCUUUACAGUCACGGUCUCAUUCAUACACACUGACGCUGGCUCUGCUACAGAACACUGGCGCCAACCUUUAACUACCAGCAGUGGCGGACUUAGCGGUUUAGGGCCCCCGGGCGAACAAUAAGAUUUUGCAGAGGCUGUAUUAAUCAUGUCUUUUUUUUUAAAUCCAUACCCAGCGUUAAAUGUUCAUAUGUAAUUUAUUUAAUUUGUUGUUUUUUUGUUUUUUCAAAAUGGCAUUUUUCUGCCUUUUCUCAUUCUUCUUUUUGUUGUUAUUCUUGUUGUUGUUAUUGUUCUUCUUUUUCCUGUUUUGUCUUUCUUCCUGCAAUUUUGGAAGUGUGGCAACAAUUUGUUUCACUUUCUCUAUACUUUUUCCUUUUUUCACAGCUGGUUACCUCUUUUUUAUAUUCAAACUCUUGGAAGAGUCUGUCUCUGCUAGCUAACUUGCUGUUGGCAGAAUUUUCCAUUGCUGCAGAUUUAAAGGGGAGGAUGAAACCCUUUCACCUUGGGGCCCCAAAAUUUUUGGGCAAUCGCCUACCUUUGCCUAAUGGAAAGUCUGCCCCUGACUACUGGGAGCAAUGUUGGGUUCAGGGUCUUGCCCAACGACACUUUGACACAUGGGCAUGCAGAGCAGGAACCGAACCUGCAAUUUUCAAAUCAGAGGUUGACCGCUCUACCACAGCUUCAGGCUGAUUGGUGAUUUCUAAACUGUCCCAGAUGUGUGUGUAUGAGAAGCGACUAACAACCAGUUGUAACCACCUUCCAACAGUAGCUGGGUCGGCUCCAGUAACCCCAAAAGGGAUCUGGGAAAGAAUUCUGAAGAUGGAUGGAUGGGUAUACACAUAUUGUUUUCCCUUAUUUGUCUGUAAAUGUUUCUUUUUUCUUGCUUAAUUUAUAUGUGAGCUGGUUUGCUCUCCAUCAAUUGAGCUAUUUGUUUGAAUUUUAUGUAUUUAUUUGGAAUUUGAGCCCAAGCCUCUGCCACAUACAGACCAAGUCCAAAGGAUGAAUAAAACUCCAAGGGUGCUGUA